AAUACAAGCCGUCUUAUCGCCAGCAACAUCUCAGAUAUUGUUGGAGGAAAGUCCGGGCAACACAGAGCACCGUACUUCCUAACAGGAAGGGUCUUUUCCGGCGACAGAAAAGAUACAGAAAGUGCAACAGAAAGUAUACCGCCCCGGCUUGCCGGGGUAAGGGUGAAAUGGUGGAGUAAGCGCCCACCGCUCCAAUAGAGAUAUUGGGGGCAUGGCAAACCUUACGGGUUGAAAGACCAAAUAAACCCCGGGCCUGCAAAGGCAAAGCUGCUCGUUUUGUUUAUAGGUUACUAUAUUCCGGGGAGGGUAGGUCGUUGGAGGUUAUUGGCAACAAUAAUCCUAGAUAAAUGAUAAGAUCCUGAAUUCGUUUAGGAACAGAACCCGGCUUACAGGCUUGUAUUUUUU
rnacentral:RNase_P_RNA from 1 species